rnacentral:rRNA from 1 species
UACGGAGGGUGCGAGCGUUGUCCGGAAUCAUUGGGCGUAAAGGGCGCGUAGGUGGCCCGGUCAGUCCGUGGUGAAAGCGCGGGGCUCAACCCUGCGUCGGCCAUGGAUACUGCCGCGGCUGGAGCACUGUAGAGGCAGGCGGAAUUCCGGGUGUAGCGGUGGAAUGCGUAGAGAUCCGGAAGAACACCGGUGGCGAAGGCGGCCUGCUGGGCAGUGGG